UUGGCGGUGACGAGAGCUUACGUGGGGGAAGCUUGGGCAUUCUGUUAGGAGGCUCAUCAUGCUGGUUUGUCCUAUUGCUGCUGAUAUAAAUCCGAACACUUGGGUGGGAUGUGGUCUGCCAGGUGCCUCUGUGGUCAAGUUACUAUUUCUCUUUGAACAUAGGAGACACCUUGAGACUGGAGCGGUAUCCCUGCGAGGAAACAGGGCUCAAGUGGUGGAGAAACCCCACCCCCCCCAACCCCCGCCAGAGGAGCGGAGAACCUGGAUUCUGUCCUGUGCUCACUGCUCAGGGGCAAAGGGACCUGCUCCCACCAGUAAAGUAGAAAUGGGAAUGAUUGGGGCGCCUGGGUGGCUCAGUCGGUUGAGUGCCGACUUUGGCUCAGGUCACGAUCUCGCGGUCCGUGAGUUCGAGCCCCGCAUCGGGCCCCUGUGCUGACAGCUCAGAGCCCGGAGCCUGUUUUGGAUUCUGUGUCUCCCUCUCUCUGACCCUCCCCCAUUCAUGCUCUGUCUCUCUCUGUCUCAAAAAUGAA